CAUGAAGUUGGAAUCGCUAGUAAUCGCGGAUCAGCAUGCCGCGGUGAAUACGUUCCCGGGCCUUGUACACACCGCCCGUCACACCAUGAGAGUCGGGAACACCCGAAGUCCGUAGCCUAACAGCAAUGGGGCGCGGCCGAAGGUGGGUUCGAUAAUUGGGGUGAAGUCGUAACAAGGUAUC
rnacentral:rRNA from 1 species